CUAGAGACUAAAAGCAUCACAGCUUUUGUCUACCCUGCUCGGGUUCGACGCAUUCUUUCCUCCCGGCAAGCGACAGCCUCACACUCAUCCUCCUGACCAGCAAGCAGCUCGUGGAGGCAUUUGUUUGGAUCGGAGGCAGGAGCCAAGAGGAGGGUGGGUGUCCGUUCAGGAGGCUUACGGAAGGGAAGGAGAAGCAAGUUGAAGCAGCCGGGCAGUAAGUUAUUUCUAGCUGCUAAUAGAUCCUUUUUGUCACAAUCCUUUGCUCCCCACAAGGCCGGUAGUACCAACAGAAUGUUCUCCUUCUCUAGUUACUUGCAUGGUCCUCUCUGUGUGUGUGUGUCCUUUUAGUCAUGGCAUAGAGGAGCAUGUCUCUGCUGCAACAAGUACUUUAAUGCUUCUUUUUAGCGCUGAUAGAUCUGUUGUCGCUGGGGGGUGGAGAACGACUAACCCACCCGUGCGUUCCCCACAACAUUCAGACCCAAAAUCGGGUUUCUUAAAAUCUACUGCUCCUCGGAGCUCUCUCCGCACUUCGUGGGCCGCGUGGCACACAGCAGUGAGGCUGGCCACUUGCUAUCAUCUCUCCUCCUCAUCCGUGGGCCCCACACGACCUCCUCCCCUCUCUUUUCUCAUUUGUUAAAUGUUGUAGAGCCCCUCUCGCAUUUAUUCUCAGAAACAGAGGGCGGCGGCGGCGGAAGGCGCGGCCUCGCCGACGAGCCCACAUAAGCAGCGCGGAGUCUGGAGAUGGAAAGCGGCGGCGGCGCAGCCUCAUCCACAAGGGAUUCCCCAAAGUCUCCUCCCUCUAUCUACUCCCUGCCUCCGAUGGUGUGCACCCGCUGCCCGCUCCUGAAGUAUCGCUAGACAUUGGAUAAUGCAACAACUCUUCUUUUAUCUAUCUUCCCCCACCCCCGCCGUUGCUUGCAGCAGCCCCCGUCGCUGCUCGUGGCCUACCUCUGCGACGGCGUGCCUCCAGCGGGAUGGAGCUACUCGGUGGUGUCGUAUUCCUUUGUCCUUUCUCAGCCCUUUAAUUUACUUCACCCCUCUUUGUAACAACUCAUAUCCGCCCACCGGCCACCACUUCCCUCUAGAUCCGCUGGUGGCCAUGGAAACAGGGGUGGCCCUUUGAAGCUCCACGUAGCGCAGAGGAAAUGCUUUAGUUUUUAGAGCUGCAAUCGCCCCAGCUCCCGCCGCCAGCCAUUGAUUUGGACGUGCUCAGGCUUUGGAGCUUAAGAGUUAAGAUAUUCUCCUCCCCCACCAGGUAGGCGACCACAAGUACAGGCAGGUCUUAAGUCUAGCUGCAUCAUCCGAGAGGGCACAGGCAAGAGUGAUGAUUUCACCAUAUACAACCACAAGCAAACUCUCUGAUUGGUCGAUUUUCAUACAAAUUAAAUAAAUUAAUUGAUGAGGUUUUUCUCCCUUCAUUUUACCAUUGAUCUAUGCUUGAUUUUAUUUUUCCCUGCAUAUAUUGCCGUAAUCAUGGCAGGAACAUAAAAAAGUAUUUCCAAGUUUAACUGAAGCAUAAUUCCUAUAUCUCAUAUCCAUUAUAUUAUUUGGAUAACAAUUGUAGGAGUAGAUGCAGUUAGUAUCACUAAGUACAUUUAUAAUUAUUUAUAUUUGCCAAUUAGAUUAUUUUAUGUAUGUUAGAAGUUUGAUUUGCACAGAUGAGUGCAUUGGAAAGAUAGUUUUAACUACAGUCUGAAAAUGCAAAUUAUAUCAUUUUAUAGGGUCCAACCUGCAGGUCGAUUCAUUUGACUACAACUCUACAGGAAUAUAUACAGGUUAUACUCUUAUGCAGUGUUUUUUGUUUACUUCUCUUUUGAAUGUCUUAAUUUCAAUGGUCAUUUGGUUUGCAUGAUUCACUGCAAGUUGCCUUGGAUCCUGAAAUCGAUGAUGUAGCAGUGGAUAGUGAAAAGAAGCUACACAUGUAUCCAUUUCUCAGUGAACUCUAAAUAAUGAACUACUUUGGGUUGGCUCCUAAAGAGAUCAUGCAUCUUCAUUUUCUUCCCCUCUUCAGACUUGCAGGAGUGUGGUCAUUAUACCACUUUUAGUUCAGAUUGUGUUUACAAGGCUCCUAUUUCUACUUAUAUUUGAGCUACAUCAUUUUACUGUUUACCUGUGCUUGUGUUCAUCCAUCAUCACCCGUUGUAUUUCCCACACUUUUAUAGAGUACCAUUAAUCCCCUGAAAACCAUAAUUUAAUAUUUUAGGAGCUACAAACUCAUAUCUUAGUAUAUUCAUGAAGUCAUGAUAAAAUUUUCCUAUAAGCUUUGCAUCAAAGAAUGCAGACUUUCAUGAUAAUUUAUUUUAUAAGUUCUUUCGUGCUUUAUGUUGCUUUGUGUCCCUGAGCUGUUACGGUUUAGAAACUGCAAAUCUAAUAAACUAUGGCAAUUGGGUAUCUUGCUUUGGAAGGUAUCAGGUUUUUAGCUUGUCUGUUGCUGGCGUUAUCAAAUCACCUAAGGCUUUCAGUAAAAGUUGAAUGAAAAGGUAGAAUUUUUUCUACUUGGUUUCUAGACUGUGAUGAUUAGUUUUGUAAUAUUACUGUAGCGAGCUUUUGAACGAAGAAUCUGACGGCUUUAAAGCUCUCUAUUGAUGAGACAUUGUUGUCAGAUCUUGAAUUUACGGCAUCCCAUAGAGUUAUAUUACAAUAUUUUCUUAUAUUUUCUUGAUGCGUGUUCACCUUUUCUUUUGUUUGUUUGCCUACUAUCUAUAUACCAUGUGUGUUUUGCUCUAUACAAGACAUGUCCCUGAUAUUGUAAUAUAUUGUAAUUCUACCUGGGUACAAACAUGCGGGACAAACUUUGUGGAAUAAAAAUUUUGCUGCUGCAGAUUUUGUAAUGGAUUUGUCUUUUCAUUAA